rnacentral:tRNA from 1 species
UAAAACUUAGGUUAAAUUUUAAACUAGUGACUUUCAACAUCACAGACAAGAGAUAGAACUCUUAGUUUUAG